rnacentral:lncRNA from 1 species
GCGCUUCGCAGGGCGCUCGGUACUCGGUCGGGUGCCGCAGGGGCCGCAGAGGCUGCUGAGGCGGCGCGGAUCCUGCUCUGGGAGCUGCGCUCCGUGGCCUACACCCUGGCGGGCGCGCGCUGACCCGCUUGGUUACUCCACGUUGCUGCCGCCGCCGCUUGCAAACGCUUCCAGCCUCCAGCUCCCUCCUUCUCCUGCUCCUCCUUCUCUUGCUCCAAACGCCAACCCAGCCACAGACGAUCAGCCGUCGCGGUUGCGUUCACCCCCUGCGGAUCACAACGGCAGCCCUUGCGACACCCUGGCUGGGGAGUUUUAUUCCUGAGGGGGUUGCGCAGGGGCUCCCUUGGACUCCCACCCUUUCCCAACCUCUGCUGGCUUCUCCCCAACGUGGAAUUGCUCGCUUAGGGAGCUUCUGGAGCUCCGCUCGGAGCGAACCUUCUGCUGCCAGCAGAUAACAUCACGAUCUUGCCGGGGAGGGGAGAUUUAUAAGUUCUCUCUGAACCACGUGUCUGCCUUCAACAAAGUGACGUGCUAGGAUUACAGUCAGAAGUCCUCUCGUUACUUAGACCACGAGCUCUCCCCGAACCGUUGAGGGAGUGUGGAAAUGAGGACCGCUGUGGGUAAGGGAGGAAGGAGGUGGAAUGUGCGCCCUGACAACAGUGAUUUACGGUAUUUACUUUCCAGUCAUUUUGGACAGGUCUGUUGAAGGAAGGACAAUCAAGUCUCCCGUUUUUACUUAGUGUAGCUCAGUCACAGCCUCCCAAGCUGAAUCACUUGCUCUAGAAGGGAAGGCUUCCCUCCUGUAUUAUGUGUGCACACGCACCCCUAUGGGAGGGAGCACUAGUCUACUCAGGGCCAGGCCAGUACUGAAGACAUACCUUCCAAUCUUUUAAAUUCAUGUCCUACCUCUUAUUUUCUGGGAUACCUUAGCAGGUUGCCAUCCCAGAAUUUAUUUUGUUAGUUUGUUGUUUACAAUGUACCCCUCUGUUUGUGAACUGCUGGAAAACAGAGAUCCAUCAAUUUUACCUAAAGAAUAAGGUAUACUUGUUUGUUUUACUGAUUUGAAUGAAUGGUCACCUUUAUAAUUUGCUGCCUAAGCCACUUCUUGUAUGGCUUUCUUCUUCACCUUCUUGCUAGGCUAAACAUUAUCAACCAACUUCAUUCUUUCCAUAGCAUUAAUCCAGGAAGCUGGAAUUUUAAGUGUUUGAUGUCUACUGUUCUACACUACUCAUAACUUGACAUUUUCAAUUUCAACUAAGUCUAAAUUAGAUGAAUACAAGAAUAACUCUUACCACUGUUCCACCUUCCCUUUUUCUUUUAUUUUACCUUUAGUUACUCAAAGUCAACAUUUUCAUUUCGGCAUGACUCUGCAGCCAUACUGACCAGACAGAUGAUUUAAACUGGAAACUCUGUUGAAUGUACUCCCAAACCCAAGAUCUCUAUACUGUUCUCUACUUCAGAUGUUCCUGAGUUCAGAAAAGUCACAAAGAACUUUCUAUCACUUUUGGAAUUUAUACUUCAGUUGUGUAUGGGGCCUAGGUUAUUAGUAGAGCACUGAAUAAAUAAAAUAAUAAUAGCUAACAUAUACUACACUUAGUAA